rnacentral:rRNA from 1 species
UACGUAGGGGGCUAGCGUUGUCCGGAUUUAUUGGGCGUAAAGAGCGCGUAGGCGGCCGAGUAAGUCCGACGUGAAAUCUGGAGGCUCAACCUCCAGCGGUCGUUGGAAACUACUCGGCUAGAGUCCGGAAGAGGAGAGUGGAAUUCCUGGUGUAGCGGUGAAAUGCGCAGAUAUCAGGAGGAACACCGGUGGCGAAGGCGGCACUCUGGGCCGGUACUGACGCUGAGGAGCGAAAGCGUGGUGAGCGAACAGG